CAGCCGCCACGGGAAUACGGAGGGGGCUAGCGUUGUUCGGAAUUACUGGGCGUAAAGCGCACGUAGGCGACUUGGUAAGUUAGAGGUGAAAGCCCGGAGCUCAACUCCGGAAUUGCCUUUAAGACUGCCGAGCUAGUAGGUGAGAGAGGUAAGUGGAAUUCCGAGUGUAGAGGUGAAAUUCGUAGAUAUUCGGAAGAACACCAGUGGCGAAGGCGGCUCACUGGCUCAUUCUAGACGCUGAGGUGCGAAAGCGUGGGGAGCAAACAGGAUUAGAUACCCCCGUAGUCCCUGUCUCUUAUAC
rnacentral:rRNA from 1 species